rnacentral:rRNA from 1 species
AUUGAACGCUGGCGGCAUGCCUUACACAUGCAAGUCGAACGGUAACGGGCCUUCGGGUGCCGACGAGUGGCGGACGGGUGAGUAAUACAUCGGAACGUGCCCGAUCGUGGGGGAUAACGAGGCGCAAGCUUUGCUAAUACCGCAUACGAUCUACGGAUGAAAGCAGGGGACCGCAAGGCCUUGCGCGGACGGAGCGGCCGAUGGCAGAUUAGGUAGUUGGUGGGAUAAAAGCUUACCAAGCGGACGAUGUGUAGCUGGUCUGAGAGGAUGAUCGGCCACACUGGAACUGAGACACGGUCCAGACUCCUACGGGAGGCAGCAGUAGGGAAUCUUGCGCAAUGGGCGAAAGCCUGACGGAGCAACGCCGCGUGAGUGAUGAAGGUCUUCGGAUCGUAAAGUUCUGUUAUUAGGGAAGAAAAACUGUGUAAGUAACUAGGCACGUCGUGACGGUACCUAAUCAGAAAGCCACGGCUAACUACGUG